rnacentral:rRNA from 1 species
AUACGUAGGGAGCGAGCGUUGUCCGGAAUUACUGGGCGUAAAGGGCGCGUAGGCGGCGCUUCAAGUCGUCUGUCAAAUGGGAGGGCUUAACCCUUUUUCGCAGACGAAACUGGAGAGCUUGAGAAGCAGAGAGGCAAACAGAAUUCCUGGUGUAGCGGUGAAAUGCGUAGAUAUCAGGAAGAAUACCAGUGGCGAAGGCGGUUUGCUGGCUGCAUACUGACGCUGAAGCGCGAAAGCCAGCGGAGCAAACGGGAUUAGAUACCCCGGUAGUCGUGGCAGUAAGCGAUGUAUGCUGUGUGUGAGACUACCGAUAGUUACGUGCCGAAGUUAACGCGAUAAGCAUACCGCCUGGGGAGGACGGUCGCAAGAUUGAAACACAAAUGAAUUGACGGGG